ensembl:lncRNA
UUUUUCUUUCUGUAUUACAGAUAGCUGAGCAGUAAGAAGAUUAUUAUCUUCCAUUGGCCUCCCUGAGGGGGGGUGGGAACUGCUAAAAGAGGAAGAGGAGGGACCAGCACACCUUCUGGGGAAGGGGUGGCAACCCAUCCUUCAGUCACAACUGAGUCAGUUGCCAGAAGCCUAGUCUAAAGUAGCAGUUCUCAGUGAUUGGACCCCAAACAUCAGUGUCCUUUGGGAACUUCUUAAAAACACAAAUUCCUGGCCCUACCCCAGGCUGCUGAAUCACAAACUCUGGAGGCUGAGUUUUUACAAAACUGUCAGAUAUUUCAGAUGUACAGUCAUGGAGAACCACUGCUAGGGCCUUAACACCCCUGGCAUGAUCCAGAACAAUAAGUAUCACCUGGGAGCUUUUUAGAAAUUCAGAUCUUAGGCCCCAUGCUAGACCUCCUGACUUGUCCACAGUCUACCUUUUAACAAAACCCAUAAGUUAUCAGAAAGCACAUUAAAGUUUCAGAAACCCUGGUGGAGAAUCAAAGAUGCUCAUGUCCACCCAUGAAGCAAGAGAAGUGAAGGGGAUUUUAAUGAGAUUUUCAGCCUAAGCUGCAAACACUGAAGUUACAAACUGGGCAGUGAGGCUGGAGUUAGGAAAUGAAUUAAAACCUGGAGAGAGGGAGCUUUGUGGAAAUCUGCUGGAAGCCUGGGGCACCUUUUUUUUUUUUUUUUUUUUUUUUUUUUUUUUUUGGCCAUGCCUGCAGCACACAGAAGUUCCUGGCCCAGGGAUCAAACCUGCACUACAGCAGCAACCCAAGCCACUGCAGUGACAACACUGGAUUUAUAACAUACUGAGCCACCAGGGAACUCUGUGGAAUACCUAUUUCUAUUUGAUUGUUCUCACUACCUCAUGCUAGCUUAGUGGUUAACCUUGCCUUGUCCAGGUACUUGCCUGGGCCUAAACCACUGUCUAGGACUUAUUGUAUCUCAUUGCACUGCAUGAACUUUCACUGGCUACUUUUUUUAGAUCUGCAUUAAAAUUUCCACCAAGCUUCUUUUGGAAUUCUUCUCACAGCAGGGCAGGCCUCCCCAGAUGUCCAUAGAAGGUCAUUUCUCAGCCAAAGCAGGGAGCAGCCUAGGAUCAAUAAGGACAAAAUCAACAUUGAGCAUUUAAAUAUGUGGCUGGAGUGUGAAUAAGUAGGUGGAGAAAUUGGAAAAAGGUCAGGUAGCAAGUAGCAGCUUUGUAACUAGCAAAAGGGCUUGUUCAUAGGUGGCAUUUCACAGAACCUGCAGGCUGAGUUUGAUUCGUUAUUAAAAUUAUGGUCAGGCCAGUGGGGAGAAUCAUGAUAAUUGGUAUAGGUCACAGAUAAUCAAAAGUGUCUCUCCCUGUGGGACGGAACCUAUUAAAAUUCGUUAUUUAAACCUCUUUGCCAUUUCCACAUUCUGUGCACAUGCAAAAUGACUUGUCCCAAUCUUGGUCUCCAAGGAAGAAAGCAAACAUCCUCCAUUGUUCUUUGUCUGGUGCUAAUUAAGGUUUUCAGGAGGAUUGGCUUAGAUGCAGCUCUGUGUACCCCAAAGCAAUCACUCCAUUCAGCUUCCAGAGCAUAGCUUUAUCUCAUUAAAGAAUUAGCUUCUAAUAGAAUGCUUAGAUUACUUCAACCAGUGUUUCCCAAACUUGUCAUCACUCACAUCCUCAGCCUCAUGGCACCAGAACUUAGGGGAGAAAGUGCUUUUGUGAGCAGGGAAUACCUUAUUUCUAGUCUUUGCUGUGCUUUGAAAUAAGGUACCUUCUAUUCCUCAAAGCCAGCUGGCCACCAUGGACUAAUUUGAUAGAACUGGUGAAUAGGCAGUGACCCUAGGGGCUUUGAAACCUGAUGACACAUUAGAAUCACCACGGCAGGGGGGAGGAUGUUAAGGAUAUUAAUGCCUGCCUAUCUCUCCAAAAUACUGAUUCAUCUGGUUUGAAGUGGAGCCCAGUCAUCUUUAAAAAAAAAAAAAAAGCUUCCAAAAUUCUGGUGUCAUUGCACAGACUAUUUUCCUCUUAUCCACUCAGCCUCCCCCGCACUUUGCCUUCAUCAUAUCUUUGUCUUGAUUACUGGACUUCUGAUCUUUCUCAGUGGUCCCAUAGCUUUCAUGAUAAACUUUCUUUGCUGCUCCAUCUACCCAAUUUAUUUUAUGCUCUAAAUAAAAAAUGAAAAAAAAAGCAUAUUCAAGGAGUUUCCUGGUAGCUCAGCAGGUUAAGGAUCUGGCAUUGUCACUGCUGUGGCUCAGGUGGCUGCUGUAUGUGGGUCUCAUCCCUGGCUGGGGAAUUUCUGCAAGCUGUGGGUACAGCCAAAAACAAACAAACAAACAAACAAACAAAAGAAUAUUUGACACAAAAUGCAAAAAAACCGUAAAGAAAAAAUGCCUGAAAAACAACAAUACAACCAUCCAAGGAUAAUUAUCGAGAACAGUUUUAUGUAUGUAUCUCUCUCCCUCUCUCUUUUUUUUUUGUCUUUUUAGGGCCACACCCACAGCAUAUGGAGAUUACCAGGCUAGCCGUCGAAUCGGAGAUAUAGCCGCCAGCCUACACCACAGCCACAGCAAUGUGGGAUCUGAGCCUCGUCUGUGACCCACACCACACAGAUCAUGGAAAUGCUGGAUCCUUAACCCAGUGAGCAAGGCCAGGGAUCAAACCUGCAUCAACAUGGAUGCUGGUCAGAUCCGUUUCCACUGAGCCACAACGGGAAGUCCUGUGUGUCUCUUUAAUGUGAACGCAUAUGUUUCCUCCACUAAAAUUUGUCAUACUAAAUAUAUUCCUGUGUACCUCUUUUCCCCCAGAACAACAUUAUGUAGAGUAUUCAUAACAAAUAGUGAAUCUUUUACCACAGGCAUUUUGAAUGACGGAAGAUGUGCCAUCAUUGUAUGCACCAUCAUUUAGCAUAAUAUUUCCUUGUUUUCUGGUGUUUAAGCAUCUUUAAUGGUUUGCUAUUAAAGUGCUAGGACUCAUAUCCUCAUUUAUAUAUCAGUGUAAAUCUUGUAAUUAUUAACUACCGCUAACGGGUGGUCAUAAGGCAGAGAAGACACUGAUGGAAUCAAAUAAAACAGUCUAUUCUUUCUGGAAGCUGAAUCUUCAAAAAAGACAUGGUUUGAAUGCCAAGGUUUUCUGCUCAGAUUGGAAAAUUCCCAUGGUCCUAAAUGGAGAAUUUUAGAUACCUAAGGUUCCUAUUUCUCACAGGAUCCACCAAGUAUUUUACAAGCCAUUUCUACUCCUUUAUAGCAGUGCUUCCCAAACUAUCCUGGUAAAGUGCUAGCUUUUUCUUGUCUCAUUUUGUUUUACUUCCAAUUUUUCAUGGAUAUAUAUACUUUUGUAAAAUAGUAUAAAAAUGAAUUUCUAGAAAAAUGAAAUAAAAAUGACAUACAAAAUAAAGGCCCAUUUUUUUAUUACUGGAUUCAAGAGUCAUAAAAUUUCUUUGACAAAUUAUAAUAAAUAUUUUAAGAGCUUAUUCUCAAUCUCUAUACUCAGUUUCAUAGCUGGACAGUAACUAACAGUUUACAGCUCAGCACUGAUGGACCAUAAUUUGAGUGGCACUGGCUUAGAGCAAAUUCUCCAGGAAACACAUUAGCUAAAUGAGAUAAUUUGGUGUUUGAGUGGGGAAAAUUUUCCCUAGCAAAGCCAUGCUAGAAGUGCAAAGUCCAGGUAAGCAUUUUUUGUACCUGUGGAAAAACCAAAUGAGACUGUAGUAGUCAGGAAUAAUACUAAAAACAUGAAGGGCUGGGAAGCAUGUGGUCUACAAUUGCAAUGAGCUGGAGAAGAAAGCAUAACUUCUGCACAAGGCUGCAUGCAAACUCAUAAAACGUUACGCAUUUUUCCAAAAAUGUUCAAUUUGUUGACCUAGCAACAGGUUUGCAUGGUCAUUUGUUAAAAUGUACUCAUAAGUUUUAUGCAGUUCCAUCCUAAUAUCCUAUACUUUAAAAAUGCUGCACAUAUACCUGUUUGCUAACACUUGCUCUAAGGCUGUUAAGUAACAAGUGAUUCUAUUUACAAUAUUAUUCUAUACACAAUUGAAUGCAGCAAAGUGAUGGAGAAUGCACACUGUAGGUGACUUUGGUGCAUUCAUAUUCAAAAAGUACAGUAUUUGUGUCUAUAAUUCUUUUCAACAGCCCUUGAAUAAAGGAUCUCAUACUUAUCACCCAUACAAAGGAUAAAGGGCAGAUAAAAACAGAGACAGACGAGAUUCAUUCUUACCAGUGAAGGACACAGUCUAUUAUUCUUAAAGGAAAGUUGUCAGGUAAGAUGCAUCCUAAAGGAAUAAUAUUGGGUGUGUGUGACUAACAUCUAAAUGCAUGAAGUGGGGAUGGGGAAGGGAAUACUUUAUCACCCUCAGCCAUCCCUCUCUUAUUUAUCUCAGCAACUUAAUAAGAGAAAGAGGAGACACUCCUUCACUUAACCUUUACUCUGAGGUUGCACAGCAAAUCAUUCAGAGCUAACUAUGUAAUAUUUAUUUUUUACACUUUUAAAAAAUUGAAGUACUUUUGACCCACACACACUUUGAUCUUUCUGGGUACACAACAUGAUGAUUUGAUAUUUCUGUACAUUACAAAAUGAUCAGCAUGAUAAAUCUAGUUACCCUCUGUCACCACACAAAUAUAUUACAAUAUUACUGACUAUAUUCCCCAUGCUGUACAUUUUAUCUCAAUGACUAAUUCACUUCAUAACUGGCAGUCUGUACCUCUUAACCUCCCUCACUUCUUUCACUUAUCCCUGAGCUCCCUCCCCUCUGGUAACCACCUGUUUGUUAACUGUUUCUAUAUGUCUGUUUCUGUUUUGUUAUGUUUGUUCAUUUUUAGAUUGAACGUGUAAGUGAAAUCAUAUGGAAUUUGUCUUUUUCUGUCUGAGUUAGUCCAUUAGUGCAAUACUCUCUAAAUCCAUCCAUGUUCUCUCUUGGCAAGACUUCAAUCUAUGUGAUGGCUGAGUAAUAUCCCUUGUACAUACAAACACACACACACACACACACACACACACACACACAUCUUCUUUAUACAUCCAUCCAUCAAUGGAUACUUAGGUUGCUUCCACAUCUUAGCUGUUAUAAACAAUACUGCCAUGAACAUAGAGGUCUACAUAUCUUUUCAAAUUAGUGUUUUUGUUUUCUUGGGAAAAAUACCCAGAAAUGGACUUGCUGGAUCAUAUGGUAUCAGAACUAACUAUAAGAUAUUUAGAAUGCAUUUUCACUAAGAAUACAUAUACAUACGUCUAUAAACACAGGUAAAUGGUGAUAGCCUAGGAAGUUGCUUUUGUGUUUCAAUGUGAGAUUCAAGAACAAUGUUUCAUUGGUGAGUUCCGCUUUGCUGUUCUGAUUUUUACCCAUUUUAUGCUUAAAUGAUGGGGGUAGGAGCAUGAGGCAGCUGGAGAGAGAUAAGAGCACCUUACUUAUUUUGAUCCUCAUACACAUUCCUAUUUUAUUUUGUCACUGGAAAACACCCAGAGCAGUUUGCUUUAAUCCUUUAUUCAAAGUUCUAGACAGAAGUGUCUCUGCUGUCUCCUUUAGGGUUUAUCAACAGAGGAGGAUAGAAGCUCUGGACACUUUCUCUGGCAUCAUUCUCAGGCCCACCCUCUGCAACCCUUUGGAAGCCUUUGUCUUCUUCUCUGCACCUAAACCAGACUCUAGAGACAUCAAAUAUGGUCCUAUAGGCUCCUCUCCCUUGAAGAGAGAUUGUUCAUUGGUAAAUUGUGUAGCUACAUCUAAAUUCCAUCACUUACUCAUUUGGGGCUUUAGUUCCUCCAUUCUUUGACUAACUUUUAAAUUCUCCUUUGAAGGAAUUCCCAUUGUGGUGCAGUGGAAACUAAUCUGACUAGUAUCCAUGAGGAUGUAGGUUCCAUA